ensembl:snRNA U6 U6 spliceosomal RNA
UUGCUUUGGCAGCUUAUAUACUAAAAAUUGGAAUGAUACAAAAAGAUCAGUAGCAUGGCCCUUGCUUAUAGUUGACAUGAAAAUUUGUGAAGUAUUCCAUAUUUAA